GACGAACGCUGGCGGCGUGCUUAACACAUGCAAGUCGAACGGAAAGGCCCUGCUUUUGUGGGGUGCUCGAGUGGCGAACGGGUGAGUAACACGUGAGUAACCUGCCCUUGACUUUGGGAUAUCUUCAGGAAACUGGGGCUAAUACCGGAUAGGAGCUCCUGCUUCAUGGUGGGGGUUGGAAAGUUUCGGCGGUUGGGGAUGGACUCGCGUCUUAUCAGCUUGUUGGUGGGGUAGUGGCUUACCAAGGCUUUGCCGGGUAGCCGGCCUGAGAGGGUGACCGGCCACAUUGGGACUGAGAUACGGCCCAGACUCCUACGGGAGGCAGCAGUGGGGAAUAUUGCACAAUGGGCGGAAGCCUGAUGCAGCCACGCCGCGUGCGGGAUGACGGCCUUCGGGUUGUAAACCGCUUUCGCCUGUGACGAAGCGUGAGUGACGGUAAUGGGUAAAGAAGCACCGGCUAACUACGUG
rnacentral:rRNA from 1 species